AUGGACGCAAGUCUGAUGGAGCAACGCCGCGUGAGUGAAGAAGGCUUUCGGGUCGUAAAACUCUGUUGUUGGAGAAGAAUGGUCGGCAGAGUAACUGUUGUCGGCGUGACGGUAUCCAACCAGAAAGCCACGGCUAACUACGUGCCAGCAGCCGCGGUAAAACGUAGGUGGCAAGCGUUAUCCGGAUUUAUUGGGCGUAAAGCGAGCGCAGGCGGUUUUUUAAGUCUGAUGUGAAAGCCCUCGGCUUAACCGAGGAAGCGCAUCGGAAACUGGGAAACUUGAGUGCAGAAAGAGGACAGUGGAACUCCAUGUGUAGCGGUGAAAUGCGUAGAUAUAUGGAAGAACACCAGUGGCGAAGGCGGCUGUCUGGUCUGUAACUGACGCUGAGGCUCGAAAGCAUGGGUAGCGAACAGGAUUAGAUACCCUGGUAGUCCAUGCCGUAAACGAUGAAUGCUAGGUGUUGGAGGGUUUCCGCCCUUCAGUGCUGCAGCUAACGCAUUAAGCAUUCCGCCUGGGGAGUACGACCGCAAGGUUGAAACUCAAAGGAAUUGAAGGGGGCCCGCACAAGCGGUGGAGCAUGUGGUUUAAUUCGAAGCAACGCGAAGAACCUUACCAGGUCUUGACAUCUU
rnacentral:rRNA from 2 species